ACCCAUUCACUUUUCCAUCUUCCUUCUUUCUCUCUCUUUAACCAGCACCGGUUUCGCCCCUUGUCCCUUUCUCUAUCAACGCCGGUGAGGCAAAGACAAGCACCGGCGAAAUCAACCGGGAAAGCUUUCCUCUCCUCUCCGCCUCUUUUCUCUCCUCUCUUUCUCCGGCAAACGAGAACAACGAGAGAUUGCAUCUCCGCUCCUCUCUUCUCUCCGACCAGCAGCGAUGAGGGCGAGCAGCAGCACCCAGCGAGACGCACUCUAGUAUCUGCGACGGCAAGUUUGUGAGUUUGACGUGUUUCAAUGAAUUAAAAUAGCUUCCAUGGGCGUUAGCAUUGAGUUUGGAAUAUUCUUCCUCCAUGUCCGGCAAGCAGUGAUGAUGGAGCUGAUGAUGAGAAUGAUAAGGGUGAUAAGGAGAGUGAGGAUGAUAAAGAGUAGUUGUAUUGAUUUGACAUUUUAAACUUCUAUAUUUUUAGAAUUGUUUAAUCGUAUUUUAGUUUAUUUUGAAGUUGGAUGAAGUUUAUUUCAAAAUAGUUUAGUGUAUAUGCUGAAAAUAUUGUGUUGUUUUGGUUGGAUGAAGUUUAUUUUAAAAUAGCUCAUUUGGAA